GUGGUUAAGUGGAGUGUUAAUAUGCUGGAGGUCUUGAGUUCGAAUCCCUGUGCGAGCAAAGGAGUUUAUAUUUUUGCUCGAUUGUCAGAUAGAAUUUUGGUUGGUCUAAAACUCUAAGUAGUGGGUUAGUGGAUGAGUAAAGUAAAGGAUUCCUUGGAUACCUACCAGAAUAUUAUUUUUUGUCUAAUUUUUCCCGAAACUGAUGUUAGUUUUGC
rnacentral:lncRNA from 1 species